CAGAGUUGCAAAACUCCCAAACCCCUGUGAACAUACCCGAGACGUUGCUUCGGUAGGCGGCCCCAGGGCGGGGCCACAUGCCUUUAGGUGUCUACCGGAGGACCCAAACUCUUUAUAUUUUAGUGGCAUCUCUGAGAAAAGACAUAAUAAGUCA
rnacentral:misc_RNA from 1 species